rnacentral:rRNA from 1 species
GACAGAGGGUGCAAACGUUGUUCGGAAUUACUGGGCGUAAAGCGCGUGUAGGCGGUUCGGCAAGUCGGAUGUGAAAGCCCUGGGCUCAACUCAGGAAGUGCACUCGAAACUGCCGAGCUGGAGUCCUGGAGAGGAAGGCGGAAUUCUCGGUGUAGAGGUGAAAUUCGUAGAUAUCGAGAGGAACACCGGUGGCGAAGGCGGCCUUCUGGACAGUGACUGACGCUGAGACGCGAAAGCGUGGGGAGCAAACAGG